CCGACGCCGAUUGGCCGGAGGAGGCGGAGGUAGGCUGCGCGGAGGCCGAGAGCGGGCAGCGGGCGAUGGCGGUGGUGGUGGUGGUGGCGGCGGCGGUGGUGGGGUGGUUGGGCUGGCUGCUGGCCGCGCUCUGCCUGGGCCACGCCGCCGGGGAGGCAGCGCCGGGCCCGCGAGUGCUGGGCGUCUGCCUGGAACAGGCCGGGGCCGCGGGCGCGGUGUGGGCGCGCGGAGGGGAGGUGUUGGCCGCGCCGGAGGCCACCUUCCGCCUGCGCCUCUUCGGCUCGGGCUUCGCCAACAGCUCCUGGUUCUGGGCGGCCCCCGAAGGAGCGGGUUGCCCCGAGGGCGGGCCGGUUAUAGUGCCCGGUGAGGCUCCGGCCUCGACGGGCGAGUGGCGCGCGCUGUUGCGCCUGCGCGCCGAGGCCGAGCGCCCACAGUCGGCGUUGCUGGCCGUGCGCGGGGAGCCUGGUGGCACGGCAACCGGGGAGGCGGCAGCCCCCGUAGGCGAGUGGCACGCGCUGCUGCGCCUGCGCGCUGAGGCCGUGCUCGCGGAGCCCAGCGGCGAGACUGCCGAGGAGGCGGCGCCGCCCUGGGUGCUGGGCCUGGGGGCGGCGGGGCUGCUGGCACUGGCGGCGCUGGCGCGGGGCCUGCAACUGAGCGCCCUGGCACUGGCGCCGGCCGAGGUACAGGUGCUGCGCGAAAGCGGCUCGGAGGCGGAGCGCGCGGUGGCGCGGCGCCUGGAGCCGGCGCGGCGCUGGGCGGGCUGCGCCUUGGGCGCGCUGCUGCUGCUGGCUAGCCUGGCACAGGCUGCGCUGGCGGUGCUGCUUUACCGCGCAGCCGGCCAGCGCGCCAUGCCCGCUGUGCUAGGCAGCGCUGGGCUCGCUUUCCUCGUGGCCGAGGUGCUGCCGGCCGCCGUAAGCGGGCGCUGGACGCUGGCUCUGGCCCCGCGCGCGCUGGCGCUCAGCCGCUUGGCCGUGCUGCUCACCCUGCCCGUGGCCUUGCCCGUGGGGCAGCUGCUCGAACUGGCGGCACGGCCCGGGCGGCUGCGCGAGCGCGUGCUAGAGCUGGCGCGCGGCGGUGGAGACCCCUACAGCGACCUCAGCAAGGGCGUGCUGCGGUGCCGGACGGUGGAAGACGUGCUCACGCCGCUUGAGGACUGCUUCAUGCUAGACGCCGGCGCCGUGCUGGACUUCGGCGUCCUGGCCAGCAUCAUGCAGAGCGGCCACACGCGCAUACCCGUGUACGAGGAGGAGCGCUCCAACAUCGUGGACAUGCUCUACCUCAAGGACUUGGCCUUCGUGGACCCCGAGGACUGCACGCCUCUCAGCACUAUCACCCGCUUCUACAACCACCCGCUUCACUUCGUCUUCAACGACACCAAGCUGGACGCCGUCCUGGAGGAGUUCAAGCGAGGGAAGUCCCACCUGGCCAUUGUGCAGAAGGUGAACAACGAGGGUGAAGGCGACCCCUUCUAUGAGGUCUUGGGCCUGGUCACCUUGGAGGACGUCAUUGAGGAGAUCAUCAAGUCCGAGAUCCUGGACGAGUCUGAGGACUACCGAGACUCCACGGUAGGGAGGAGGAGGAAGCCAGUGUGUCUGAGCGCCCCUGUCAGGCGGAAGGAGGAAUUCUCCUUGUUCAAGGUGUCCGAAGAUGAGUAUAAAGUGAAGAUCUCGCCUCAGCUGCUCUUGGCCACCCAGCGCUUUCUUUCCCGAGAGGUGGACGUGUUCAGCCCACUGCGAGUGUCCGAGAAGGUCCUGCUACAUUUGCUGAGGCACCCCAGCGUCAACCAGGAGGUGAGGUUUGAUGAGAGCGACCGCCUGGCGGCACACCAUUACCUGUACCAGCGUAGCCAGCCGGCGGACUACUUCACCCUCAUCCUGCAGGGCAGGGUUGAGGUGGAGAUUGGGAAGGAGGGCCUGAGAUUCGAGAAUGGGGCCUUCACCUACUAUGGCGUGUCUGCCCUGACAGUGCCGUCCUCGGUUCACCAGUCCCCAGUGUCCUCGCUUCAGUCCCUCCUGCAGCCGGAGCCAGCCGACGGCACCCACUUGUCCGCAUAUUGUCCUGACUACACCGUGAGGGCCCUUUCCGACCUGCAGUUCAUCAAGGUCACGCGGCUGCAGUACCUCAAUGCACUCCUAGCCACGCGAGCCCAGAACCUGCCACCGUCCACCGAAAACUCGGACCUCCAGGUCAUCCCAGGCAGCGAGACCACGCUCCUCGGCAACAGGAUGCCCGUGGCAGCAGCCUUCCCAGUAGACCUUUCCCUCUUUGGCACAUUUGGAAACUACAGUUGAUAAUCGACUGUGGACUAGUGAGCGUUUUUUGUUUUAAGAAAACACCCAAGGGUCCAACCACAGCAGACCUGGCCUCCCAACGGAGGAGAGCCCUGGGCGGAACCCAGGUGUUUAACUGCUUGCCAGGCAGCCCCAGGUCUGGGGAUAGACCAGCUCGUGGGGAGCAGAGAGAGCCCAGCCGAGGAGUAGCUUCCUGCCAGCCUGUCCCAUUCCCUCCAGGCCACGUUUUAGAUGGCCCUUAGAGAUGUGGGUCUUGGGCUGUCCUGGGAACCAGACGUCAGUGCCAGGAGCCUUCAGUAGGUCCUGCCUCCUCUAGGAAAUGGGGGUCAGCUGGGCACAGGCCUGCCUCUGGAGGGUGUGAAAGGACCACUGUCACCUCCAGUCCCCGGGCCCAGCCUUCUCCCUGGGACAGUGCAGUGUCUGUACCUCCUUGGGCCCAGCCGCGAUGUGAGUGCACGAUGACUGCCUGUAUGUGGCCGUGACUCUCUCUGUACUCUCUCUGCUUCUAGCCUGCCAGCUUCUGUGGCAGCACUUUCUGAACAAACUGAGAGCACGCCCAUGGCCUUGGCCAUAGUGAACCUUGUGACGUCCCUGACAGUGCCGUCCCUGACAGUGCCGUUUCUAAGCACGCCCCAGCCUAUCCCAUGUGCCAAACCUGGAAGCACGACCCCCCACAAGUCUGUGCCACUAGUCCUGCUCCCUCCUGUGGAGGCAGCUUUUCUGACUUCUCCCAGAGCCCUGGCUGGCUCCCCGGGGACUGAGGAGGCCCCUUCCUGCUGUGCCUCUGCCCGCCUUGCUUAGUUGUCACUUUAUGUGUUUUAACAAGGUAACGUGUGGGAGGAAGGGCUCUUUCUGCUGCACCUAAUCCUUUGUCAUCAGAUCCCAGGGAGACCUAUGUCACACCCUCCUGUGCGUCCGUGACAUGCAUGGAGCGCGUGAGGGAGCGAAGGGCUGGGUAAGGACCAGGUGGAUCACUGUCAGCUUUCUUUAAAAAACAUGACAUCAGAGUUUUUCUGUCUCUGAAACAUUUUAAGCUCUGCCUUUUUCCUGUCCCUCACUCCGGGGUUUAAAGAAGUGAGAACAAGGAGGAAUUCUUUUUCUUCUGGUUUACCUCUGAUUACCCUCCAGCAUUCAGCUGUGUAGAAGCUGGGGCAUCACAGGAACCUGGGAUCUUAGGUUAGAUAGGGAAGGAGGAGGAUUUCUGGAACCUUCCUGAAAGGAAUUUGGGUCCUUAUCUGGGACCAGCGGGAAUGAAGGCCAAACAACAGUGGCCUGCUCACUUAGAAGUUCUCAAGGGGUUCUCUCCAAGAGCAAAAUCCCAGGUGGGACACACAACAUUUCGUUACCAUGUUGGGGAGCUGCAGGAGGAACUUAACUCUGUCACAUCAGCCAGCCUGUGGUAACAUUGGUUCCGUAAUACAUCGUUUUGCUUAAAGUCUCAGGACCUGUUGAUGUUAAGUAAAGACUGACUGUACUAGAAAAUCAUCUCUCCAGAACAGUGGUUUUUCACUUUGGCUGCACAUAGAAUCACUUGGCAAAUGAAACAUACCUGGGCCCACCCCCAGGGAGGGGCUAAUCUGUCUGAACAUCAGGAUUUCUGUUUUUGAAGUAAUUUUAGAUUCACAGAGUUCCAGCUUCCCCUAAAGUUAACAUCUUAUAUCACCUUGGUGCCUUUGUCAAAACUAAAAGGUUAACAUGGGUACUAAAACUAUGAACUCAAUUACAUUUACAGUUUUUCCAGUGUCCUUUUUCAGUUGCAGGAUCCAGUCCAGGAUACCAAAUUGCAUUUCGAGCUGUUCUUUUUUUGCUUAACUUUCUGUUUAGAAAUAAUUACAGAUUCAUAGGAAGUUGCAAAGUUAAGAGGUACCCUUCACCCUGUUUUCCUCAAUGGUUACAUCUUACGUAGUUCUAAUGCAGUAUCAACCAGGAGUCGGACAGGGGCACUGAGGGUGUAGUUCUGUAUCAUCUCGCUUUGAGUGACCACCAGUCUUGACACAGGACUGUCUCACCCCACCAGGAUCUCCCUCCCAACCACCCUUGAGAGAGAGAGAGAGAGAGAGAGACACACACACACACACACACACACACACCCCGACUGCCAUCCCGAAUCCCUGGCAACCACUAAUCUGUUCAUCAUCUCUGAUUGUCAUUUCGAGAACCAUUUUCUAAAUGGGAUCGUCCAGUGUGUACCCAUUUGGGAUUGGCUCUUCUCAGCAUAAUGCUCUGGAGAUGCAUCCAGAUUGUUGCGUGUGUUGACCAUCAUCCCUUUUGAUGGCUGUGUGAUACCCAUGGUAUGCUCAUUGUCCCGGUUAACAAUAUCUGGGUGGUUUCCAGUUUCUGGCUGUCCCAAAUAAAGCUGCUAUGAACACUCAUUUCAGGUUUUUGUGUAAA